GGGAGCCCCAGGACUUCUGUUGCUCUCCCACAGAGGAAAGGAGCGCUUCUUCCCCAGAUCUGGAGUCAGACUCCUGGAACCCCAGCCCUGCCCGGCUCCUGCUAGAGGCAUGGCCUUGGGCAAGUUGUCUCACUUCUCACUGCUUCAGCUGUACACCAGAGACAUUCAUGGUCCCCACCCCCACCCCCAUGGGGUUUUGGGGUUUUUUUUUUUUGCAAACAUAUGAAUUCAUCUCUGACUUAGAUGCUUAGAACAGUGCCUGGUGCUACUCAGGGUGUAGGCAGUCAGUUUUCCUCCUCUUACUACCACACUGUAAAAGUAUUGUCUGUUUCAUAUGCUAAUUCCACUUUCCCCACGGAACAGUUACAAAAAAUGCUCUGGUUUUGGAGGAAGUCAGACAGGUGCCUGAAAACCUCUGAUCUAGUGCGUACUCACGAGCUGUGCCAUAUCAUGUCAUGACUUAACCCCCCCGAGCCUCGGUCUGCUCACCUGAAAUAGCAGAACCCCCCACCUGGGGUUCUGAGGAUGAAAUGAGGGAGCACUCACCUGGUGCGUGUCCCCAAGGAAGAGCUCAGUCUGUGAAAGUCAUGCUGUUCUUAGGAUUAAGUUGUCGUUGGUCAAAACUAUGUUAAAAUCUUAGGAAAACUAGGUUUUGUCUUAAUCUGACACAGAAAGUAAAAAUAAUACAGAGGGUUUCCCUGCUGGCUCAGUGGUAAAGAAGCCGCCUGCCAAUGCAAGAGACAUGGGUUCAAUCCCUGAGCCGGGAAGAUCUCACAUGCAAUUAAGCCCCUGCACCACAACUAUUGAGCCUGUGCCCUAGAGCCCAGGAACCGCAAUUACUGAGCCCACGUGCCACCAUGCUGCAGCCCGUGUGCCCUAAAGCCCUGCUCUGCAGCAAGAGAAGCCACCGCAAUGAGAAGCCCUCCCACAGCAACCGGAGAGUAGUCUCCAUUUGCCGAAACUAGAUAAAAGCCUACACAGCAAUGGAGAUCCAGCACAGCCAAAAAUAAAUAAAAAUAAAUAAAAUUAAAAAGUAGUACAGAGUGAGGUAGUGCUUGAAGAGAUUCUGGAUCGCAUAUGUGAAUUUUAAAAACAGGAAAGAAAUUGCUCCUUGAAAAAUUAUCUCUUGAUCUUUGUGUGAACUCAGGCCUUAUAGGAGAUUCUGUAUCUUUAGCCUUCAAAAAUCACAUAGUGAAACGUUCUGUGUUAGAAGAGGUCAAGAAUUAUGUAAACCUUCGUGGAAUUGGUCAGGAUCAGAAUCCCGUUAAUAAACAUAUCAAGAGUUGGAGCUGUUACUAGAUACUCCCAUUCUUUCUGUAAUGAAAAACGUCUAUUAUUGGGUGAUUGUCCAGUGUACAAACUUUCACUGUUACUCUGAGACUGGGUAAUACUUGUGGGUAAUCGAUUAAAAUUCCAUAAUGUAGAAUGUACGCUUAGUUGCUCAGAGUUGGACGUGACUGAGCGACUUCACUUUCACUUCAAGGGUUCAAGAAUAGAGACGCUGGAUUUGGAGGGAGAGAGUCUGCAGGGGCCUCAGUGACCCCAUGGAGCUCCUGGUGCCUCUAAUGCUUGUUCCUCCUGGAGCCAUAGAAUCCUCCUGCUUCCUUCUUGACUCUGCUGAACAGGAUUGACUUGGGGGUGUGGAGUCUAAGAAGAACGACACCACUUAUUUUAGAAUAUGAACAAACAAGUGCCCAGGUAUGUCCUUCAUAAAGCCCUGUGCUAAUUGCCGGAAGGACCCAGAGAUCCAUUAGACACUGUCCUUAGCCUUGGGGAGGCUGUGGUCAAAUGGGAAAGAGAGUCUCAUACAAUCAGUACAAAAACGGGAUGGAAAGAGAGUGAGGAUGGGGGUGGAACAUGUGCUCAGCAACCUGUUUGCUAAGUUAGAGCCUGGCGUUGCCAUUUAGGAGAGGCUACUCACACUUAAAUCGACAUCAGGGACAUGGCCAGCCCUAGGAAGCCCUCUCACAGGCAAGAGGUGAGAAAGAGCACCCUGGCACCCAGCACCUUCUCUGACAUUCCUUCCUCUGCCAACAAAUCUGACCUUCCCUCUCCCUUCAGGUAAAAAUUGGAGGCUUCUAUUAUUUUGGUGUUACUGUGCAUUUGUGCAUACUAAGCCACUUCAGUCAUGUCCAACUCUGUGUGACUCUAUGGACUAUAGGCUGCCAGGCUCCUUUGUCCAUUGGACUUUCCAGGCAAGAAUACUAGAGUGGGUUGCAAUGCCCUCCUCUAAGGGAUCUUCUCGACCCAGGAAUCAAACCUGCAUCUCCUGCAUUUGCAGGCCCUUUCUUUUCCACUAGUAUCAUCUGGGAAGCCCCUUUGGUGUUACCAUUCUCCCCCAAAUAUGGAAGCGAUACAUGCUUAUAGAAACAAAAAGAAGGAAAGAAAACCAGAUGACUGUUUGAAUCUUGGUGAACUUAUUCCCAAUCAUUUCCUGUUUUUAAUUUCUUUUAGUGUAUAUGUGAACACAUAGUUUAUUUUUAAUCCUGAUUUUUCAUUCAACAUGAAAAUGAAUGCCUUUAUAAAAACUCUGUACACAGCAUUUACCUACGCAUUCCACUAUUAUUUAGGUUGUUUCCUAAUCUUUUCUGUUAUAUAUAAUUUAUAAGAAACAUCUUCAUGCCUGAAAUGGCGUUUCUAAAACUGAUAUCUCUUCAAAGAUAUCCUGUAAGAUGUUUUAAUAGAUAAAGUGUCCUGUGCUCAAAUUAGUUUGUUAAAGCCUGGGUUGAAGAAAUAAGCAUCUUCUGUGAAGGAAUUUUCAGAGCCUUUGUACAUGGUGUGUUGUGAAUCUCCAACAGAGAGGUAUACUUACCAUGAAAUUAAAAGAUGCUUAUCAGUGUAUGGCAAAACCAAUACAAUAUUGUAAAGUAAAUAAAUAAAUGGUGAAAAAAAAAAGACACUUUCUCCUUGGAAGAAAAGCCACGACCAACCUAGACAGCAUAUUAAAAAGCAGAGACAUCACUUUGCCAACAAAGGUCCAUCUAGUCAAAGCUAUGGUUUUUCCAGUAGCCACAUAUGGAUGUGAGAGUUGAAGUAUAAAGAAAUCUG
ensembl:lncRNA